rnacentral:rRNA from 1 species
CGUUGUCCGGAUUUAUUGGGCGUAAAGCGAGCGCAGGCGGAAGAAUAAGUCUGAUGUGAAAGCCCUCGGCUUAACCGAGGAACUGCAUCGGAAACUGUUUUUCUUGAGUGCAGAAGAGGAGAGUGGAACUCCAUGUGUAGCGGUGGAAUGCGUAGAUAUAUGGAAGAACACCAGUGGCGAAGGCGGCUCUCUGGUCUGCAACUGACGCUGAGGCUCGAAAGCAUGGGUAGCGAACAGGAUUAGAUACCCUGGUAGUCCACGCCGUAAACGAUG